rnacentral:rRNA from 1 species
UUGUCUCAAAGAUUAAGCCAUGCAUGUCUCAGUACAUACCGAAUUAAGGUGAAACCGCGAAAGGCUCAUUAUAUCAGUUAUGGUUCAUUAGAUCGUACCCCACAUUUACUUGGAUAACUGUGGUAAUUCUAGAGCUAAUACAUGCAAACAGAACUCCGACCGGAGACGGAAGGAGCGCUUUUAUUAGAUCAAAACCAAUAGGCGGCGGCGGCCGGCGUUUCACGACGUCGCGUCGUCGUCGUCACAUAAAUCGCACGACGAAUCUGAAUAACUUUAUGCCGAUCGCACGGUCACGCACCGGCGACGGAUCUUUCAAAUGUCUGCCUUAUCAACUUUCGAUGGUAGGUUAUGCGCCUACCAUGGUUGUAACGGGUAACGGGGAAUCAGGGUUCGAUUCCGGAGAGGGAGCCUGAGAAACGGCUACCACAUCCAAGGAAGGCAGCAGGCGCGCAAAUUACCCACUCCCGGCACGGGGAGGUAGUGACGAAAAAUAACGAUACGGGACUCAUCCGAGGCCCCGUGAUCGGAAUGAGCACACUUUAAAUCCUUUAACUAGGAUCAAUUGGAGGGCAAGUCUGGUGCCAGCAGCCGCGGUAAUUCCAGCUCCAAUAGCGUAUAUUAAAGUUGCUGCGGUUAAAAAGCUCGUAGUCGAAAUUGUGUCCCGGGCCGCCGGUUCGUCGCUCGCGACGCCAACUGGCGCGCACGCGGGACGUCCAGCCGGUACCACGAACCCGCCGACGGUGCUCUUAACCGAGUGUCCAGGCGGGGGCCGGCAAUGUUACUUUGAACAAAUUAAAGUGCUUAAAGCAAGCUAAACUGCGCUCGUAUAAUACGUGCAUGGAAUAAUCGAAUAGGACCUCUGUUCUAUUUUGUUGGUUUUUGUGGAACGCACAGAGGUAAUGAUCAAUGGGUGCGGAUGGGGGCAUUCGUAUUGCGACGUUAGAGGUGAAAUUCUUGGAUCGUCGCAAGACGCACUAAAGCGAAAGCAUUUGCCAAAAACGCUUUCAUCGAUCAAGAACGAAAGUUAGAGGUUCGAAGGCGAUCAGAUACCGCCCUAGUUCUAACCAUAAACUAUGCCAGCUAGCGAUCCGCCGCAGUUACUACUACGACUCGGCGGGCAGCUUUCGGGAAACCAAAGCUUUUGGGUUCCGGGGGAAGUAUGGUUGCAAAGCUGAAACUUAAAGGAAUUGACGGAAGGGCACCACCAGGAGUGGAGCCUGCGGCUUAAUUUGACUCAACACGGGAAACCUCACCAGGCCCGGACACCGAAAGGAUUGACAGAUUGAGAGCUCUUUCUUGAUUCGGUGGGUGGUGGUGCAUGGCCGUUCUUAGUUGGUGGAGCGAUUUGUCUGGUUAAUUCCGAUAACGAACGAGAC